AAAUGUAGCUGCAUGGAAGUAAACGUGUACCUUAUAUGGCGGUGAAAAACAUAGAAUAGAUAUGUCUGGAAGUAGGUUGAGAAUGACAUUCUGCUAGCCUCCCCCCCCCCCAGCGAACAAAGCAGACA